rnacentral:rRNA from 1 species
UAGGGAAUAUUGCAAAAUGGGCGCAAGCCCGAUGCAGCAACGCCGCGUGGGCGAUGAAGGCCUUCAGGUCGUAAAGCCCUUUUUGAGGGGGUGAGGAAGGACAGUACCCUCAGAAUAAGCCUCGGCUAACUACGUGCCAGCGGCCGCGGUAAAACGUAGGAGGCGAGCGUUAUCCGGAUUUACUGGGCGUAAAGCGCGUGCAGGCGGAUUGGAGAGUUGGAUGUGAAAGCUCCCGGCUUAACUGGGAGAGGUCGUUCAAUACUUCCAGUCUUGAGUGCAGUAGAGGGAAGUGGAAUUCCGGGUGUAGUGGUGAAAUGCGUAGAUAUCCGGAGGAACACCAGUGGCGAAAGCGGCUUCCUGGACUGUAACUGACGCUCAGACGCGAAAGCUAGGGUAGCAAACGG